rnacentral:lncRNA from 1 species
UGAGUGCAAUCAAAACCAAAGAUCAAAAAUAGAACAUUUUUUAAAACCAAAUGUUAUGCUAUUGAGAGAUAAGCUACAGGAAGAUAUAUUAUAUCACAAAAUUGCAGAAGUAACGAGAGAAUGACAGUAAUAAACUUAAAAUAGUCUUUCCAAUAUGUCUAACAGAACAGAUUUAAAAACCACAGACACUUAAUCACGAAAAUGAAACAGAACUCAAGUAACGGAGGGAGAUCGAAUCUAACUAAAACCAAACUUGACAGGGAAUACAGAAAUGAACUUGGAUGUUCAAAAUUUCAAUUAACUUCGAUGUCGACAAAUUCGAACAAAACCAAAUAGAAUAGCGACAGGCGAAUCUGGAACCACGAGCUCGAACCAUGAAUGGCAACCAAAACUCCACGGCAAACCUCGAUCAAACUUCAUAGUUGAAAUUAAAAUUUGAUACGGAAAGAAAUAACAGAAACAUUAUGCAUAUAUUUUUAUAUUUAUUUUUUUGAUUGUUUUUAAACGGAAGUAGAAGAGACAAAAGAAAAACCCCCCAAUAAAACUUCGAAAUUUCUCUUCAAAAUCCUCGAACUCUCUCUCCAAUUUUUUGUCUGAAGAACCCUCGUUUUUUCCAAACUCCUCCUCAAAUCUGAGAAAACCAACCCAAUAUAUAGGGGGUCUCGAACCUUUUAUGCUUCCUCACGAAGCAAUCGAUUUUUAUCUCCAAAUCCAAAAAGGAACUCCAAAAUUCCGAAAAUCUCCUCAUUUUCGGUAAAAACUCGGCAAAUGGAGGGGUAUGAUUAAUUUUCAUUAAUCAUAUCCUACCCUUCAUCCAUCAUCUACCAUUGAAAGAGAUUCACGUGUGAAAAAGCAAAUCAAAACACAGAUAAUAAAGGAUAAGGGAAUAUUCGAAUCAAAAUCGGUUAUUUGUCAGGCCACGUGCAAGAAAGAGAGAAGGAAAAGGGGGACCAUGAGUUAACUCGCCGGAAUCAGUGAGUUUUCCGGCAAGUUUCGGCCAGGUAGAAGGUGGAGAUGGGGUGAAGAGGGGGCGCCGAAAUGGUUAGAGAUUUAGGUUUAGGGUUUGAGAAAAAUAAGAUUUUAUAUGGGGUGAAGGAUUAAUUAUGGCCAUUGGAUGAAAUUAAAUUGAUGGCUGAGAUUUGAGUAGGGAAAUGAGGC